rnacentral:rRNA from 1 species
CAAUAGCGUAUAUUAAAGUUGUUGCAGUUAAAAAGCUCGUAGUUGGAUUUCUGGUAGGAGCGACCGUGCCGAACUUGAUUGUUCGUGUAUUGUGUUGUCUUCAGCCAUCCUCGUGGAGAACUUUUCGGGCAUUAAUUUGUCGGGAUUGGGACCCGCGUCGUUUACUGUGAAAAAAUUAGAGUGUUUAAAGCAGGCAAUCGCUUGAAUACAUUAGCAUGGAAUAAUAAGAUAGGACUUUGGUACUAUUUUGUUGGUUUGCAUACCAAAUUAAUGAUCAACAGGAACAGUUUGAGGAUAUUCGUAUGAACAUGUCAGAGGUGAAAUUCUUGGAUUUUGAUCAGACGAACUACUGCGGAAGCAUUUAUCAAGGAUGUUUUCAUUAA